rnacentral:lncRNA from 1 species
GAUGGCCUCAAUCAUUUCGCCCGCACGUCCAAAGAAGCCAAUGAUCUUACCCGAGACUAGCGGAACGGAGAAAGGUAUUCCGCCACUGGAGCCGAAAGGUCCAUAGCUGUCCUUGUUGGUCCUCAGCGUCAGGUUCCUCACCAGAGUUAAUCCCCACAUCGUAUCCACAGACCCCUCGACGCCCACAAGAUACUCGUCCUCUUGCAGAGAAAUCUGAACAACGACACUUUUCUGUCAUUGAGGUACAACCAAUCGAUAAUGUUAAUUAGGAGGAAGAUGACGAAGUGGACGAACCACGUAGGGAUUGAAAUCGAUGCUGCCGAAGUGCUUGGUCUCCGUCUGAUCAUUACGGAUGAAGGUGAUCACGAUGGCGUCGAUGGCCUCUACGGCGCCAAUCUUG